rnacentral:rRNA from 1 species
ACACGGGGGGCGCAAGCGUUAUUCGGAAUUAUUGGGCGUAAAGGGCGCGUAGGCGGUCUUGUCGGUCAGAUGUGAAAGCCCAGGGCUCAACCCUGGACGUGCAUUUGAAACAGCAAGACUUGAGUACGGGAGAGGAAAGCGGAAUUCCUGGUGUAGAGGUGAAAUUCGUAGAUAUCAGGAGGAACACCGAUGGCGAAGGCAGCUUUCUGGACCGAUACUGACGCUGAGGCGCGAAGGCGUGGGUAGCGAACAGGAUUAGAUACCCCGGUAGUCC